AGCAGUAGCCACGGUAAUACAGAGGGUGCGAGCGUUAAUCGGAUUUACUGGGCGUAAAGCGUGCGUAGGCGGCUUUUUAAGUCGGAUGUGAAAUCCCUGAGCUUAACUUAGGAAUUGCAUUCGAUACUGGGAAGCUAGAGUAUGGGAGAGGAUGGUAGAAUUCCAGGUGUAGCGGUGAAAUGCGUAGAGAUCUGGAGGAAUACCGAUGGCGAAGGCAGCCAUCUGGCCUAAUACUGACGCUGAGGUACGAAAGCAUGGGGUGCAAACAGGAUUAGAUACCCGCGUAGUCCCUGUCUCUUAUAA
rnacentral:rRNA from 1 species